rnacentral:tRNA from 1 species
GGCACUGUAGCUCAGUUGGUAGAGCACAUGCUUAACAAGCACAUUGAUUCGCAUGUUGUCGUCGGUUCGAGCCCGGCCAGAGUCA